CCGUAAUUUAAAAGUAAAUAUUAAAUUCAACAGAUUCAACGAAAACAGGAUUAUUCCGAUAUAAGAGGAGAUUGCAAAUGGUUAUAUCACAACACUUCAGUGAAACUACAGUUACCCUUGGAGUAGACAUAAGUCUACAAUGCAUAGUAAACGGACCACAUCCAGCGAGAUUCGUGUGGGAAAGAGAUAAAGUAGUUAUAUCUUCGAACACAGAUUCUAGAUAUGCAAUAGGACAAACUAUGACGCCA